rnacentral:rRNA from 1 species
UACGGAGGGUGCAAGCGUUAUCCGGAUUCACUGGGUUUAAAGGGUGCGUAGGCGGCUUGUUAAGUCAGUGGUGAAAGCUUACAGCUUAACUGUGAAAUUGCCAUUGAAACUGACAAGCUUGAAUCUGGUUGAAGUGGGCGGAAUACAACAUGUAGCGGUGAAAUGCGUAGAUAUCGGGAGGAACACCUGCGGUGUAGACGGCUUUCUGGACCAUUGUUGACGCUGAGACACGAAAGCGUGGGUAGCAAACAGG